rnacentral:tRNA from 1 species
GCGUGGCUGGCUCAGUCAGAAGGGCGUGCGACUCUUGAUCUCGGGGUCGUGGGUUCAAGCCCCACGUUGGGUG